GGGUUUGAGGUCUAUAUGGGAUCCUGGGGUCUAUGGGGUGGGAUUUGAGGUCUAUAUGGGGUCUAUGGGGUCGGAUUUGGGGUCUAUACGGGAUCUAUACGGGAUUUGGGGUCUAUGGGUUUGGAUUUGGGGUCUAUAUGGGGUCUACAGAGUGGGAUUUGAGGUCUAUAUGGGAUCCUGGGGUCUAUGGGGUGGGAUUUGGGGUCUAUAUGGGAUCCUGGAGUCUAUGGGGUGGGCUUUAGGGUCUAUAUGGGGUCUAUGGGGUCGGAUUUGGGGUCUAUAUGGGGUCUAUGGGGUGGGAUUUGGGGUCUAUAUGGGGUCUAUGGGGUGGGAUUUGAGGUCUAUAUGGGGUCUAUGGGGUGGGAUUUGAGGUCUAUAUGGGAUCCUGGGGUCUAUGGGGUGGGAUUUGAGGUCUAUAUGGGGUCUAUGGGGUGGGAUUUGGGGUCUAUAUGGGAUCUAUACGGGAUUUGGGGUCUAUGGGGAGGGCUUUGGGGUCUAUAUGGGGUGUAUGGGGUGGGAUUUGAGGUCUAUAUGGGGUCUAUGGGGUGGGAUUUGGGGUCUAUAUGGGGUCUAUGGGGUGGGAUUUGAGGUCUAUAUGGGAUCCUGGGGUCUAUGGGGUGGGAUUCGGGGUCCAUAUUGGGGGUCUAUGGGGUGGGAUUUGAGGUCUAUAUGGGGUUUAUGGGGUGGGAUUUGAGGUCUAUAUGGGAUCCUGGGGUCUAUGGGGUGGGAUUCGG
ensembl:lncRNA